UCCUGUUUCAAUAUUUAUGAAUGUGGGAUGCAUAUGCUAUACAAAAAUAAUUUUAUUAGCAAGUGUUUGUGUGCUCACACUGAUAUUUCCAUAUUUUAUAUCUUUUAUUCUUUCUUAACGGUGACAGUUGCGCACGGUGCAUGCAGAUCGCGUUGCCUCGCCUGCGGAGCUCUGAUGGCGCUGGUUGGAGGAAGAGCAGAUUCCUCCUGGAUCUGACUGCAUGGGCCACCUGGGAAGCCAGGUGAAGCGGCUAAGGCAGUGAACACAGCGCUCAACCCGCCACAGCAAUCCUCUGUCAGGGAGGAGACUAGAAACAAUACAGGGGAAAAGUCGAAGAAGGAGAGGUGAUACGUGAAGAGCGACUUUGUCCUGGAUUACAGCUCGAGACACCAAGCAGCGUGCUGCUUCUUUUCCUGUGACAUCCCUUGCGCCCUGAAGACAGAAAACAGGGCUGUUCAUUUCACUGUGGGACCUUCAGCAGGAGCCAGCAGGAAACACAGGGAAUGCUCAGCUUCCAGAGACCAUGGGUCCUCAGGGCUGAAAAGGAGCUCGCUCCCCUCUCAGGCCAGGAGGGAAGGGCACGCCUGGGUCAGUUCCUAAGGCAGCCAUGCCCCAGGCGCCGAAGGCCUUGCCGACAUUCUUCAUAUUUAAUCCCAACCAGACCGGCGCGAUUUCCAGCUGGACGACACUUGGCUAAUUUGGGGGAGGCUCCGCGGUGUCUGGGCCGCGCCUGCCACCCGCAGCGCCUGGAACGCUUUGUUGACCUAAGGAAUCAAGGAAUCAGCAAACAAACAGCUUUUGGACAAAGGAGGACCUGACGCAGGUGAAGCGAGAGGAUUCGAGGACUGUGACAGGGGAGGCAUGUCAUGGUAGAAAGCAGGUCUGCUGAGGCCUUGGGACCUUUAACCAUUGGCGCAGCCUCUAUCCCGCUGGGCAGGGCUGGGCCAGGGGGCAGGAGGCGGCAGAGACCUGCCGCUGCGCAGAGAACAGCGACCACAGCCAAAGACAGAGCUGCACCACCAAGGCUGUCAGCAGAAGCGAGGUUUCAGUGCUGCGAAGGCCUUCAAGGGAAUUGCACUCAUUCCUGUAGAAAUUCACAACGAGAGGAGGGAGCACACCCCGGAGCCUGCUGACCUGCCUGAAUGCUGGGCGAGGCCGGGCUUAUGAUGGAAGCAGGCAUUGUUCUCUCCAUCGCAGCAAAAAGUACUUAAUUGUAUUUUAGACGCAUACAGUAAAGACGCAGAAUGACUUAAUUAUGUCUGAAUAUUUUACUCACUUAUGUCCUUCAAAUUCUAGGAUUUCCAGG